UACGGGGGAAAAAUUUAUUGCUAUUAGAUGAGCCUAUAUUAGAUUAGCUAGUUGGUGGAGUAAUAGCCUACCAAGGCAAUGAUCUAUAGCUGAUCUGAGAGGAUGAUCAGCCACACUGGAACUGAGAUACGGUCCAGACUCCUACGGGAGGCAGCAGUGGGGAAUAUUGGACAAUGGGCGAAAGCCUGAUCCAGCCAUGCCGCAUGAGUGAAGAAGGCCUUUGGGUUGUAAAGCUCUUUUAGUGAGGAAGAUAAUGACGGUACUCACAGAAGAAGUCCUGGCUAACUCCGUGCCAGCAGCCGCGGUAAUACGGAGAGGGCUAGCGUUAUUCGGAAUUAUUGGGCGUAAAGGGCGCGUAGGCUGGUUAAUAAGUUAAAAGUGAAAUCCCGAGGCUUAACCUUGGAAUUGCUUUUAAAACUAUUAAUCUAGAGAUUGAAAGAGGAUAGAGGAAUUCCUGAUGUAGAGGUAAAAUUCGU
rnacentral:rRNA from 1 species